rnacentral:rRNA from 1 species
GACGAACGCUGGCGGCGUGCUUAACACAUGCAAGUCGAACGGAAAGGCCCUGCUUGCAGGGUACUCGAGUGGCGAACGGGUGAGUAACACGUGGGUGAUCUGCCCUGCACUUCGGGAUAAGCCUGGGAAACUGGGUCUAAUACCGGAUAGGAGCCAUUUUUAGUGUGAUGGUUGGAAAGUUUUUUCGGUGUAGGAUGAGCUCGCGGCCUAUCAGCUUGUUGGUGGGGUAAUGGCCUACCAAGGCGGGGACGGGUAGCCGGCCUGGGAGGGUGGACGGCCACAUUGGGACUGAGAUACGGCCCAGACUCCAACGGGAGGCAGCGGUGGGGAAUAUUGCACAAUGGGCGCAAGCCUGAUGCAGCGACGCCGCGUGGGGGAUGACGGCCUUCGGGUGGUAAACGCCUUUCGCUAGGGACGAAGCUUGUGUGACGGUACCUAGAAAAGAAGCACCGGCUAACUACGUG